rnacentral:tRNA from 1 species
GCGCCGUUAGUUUAGUGGUAGAAUAACUCGCUUCCAACGAGUUGACGGGGGUUCAAUUCCCCCACGGCGCA